rnacentral:misc_RNA from 1 species
UACGUAGGGUGCAAGCGUUGUCCGGAAUUAUUGGGCGUAAAGAGAACGUAGGCGGUUUGUUAAGUCUGGUCUUCACGACCAGGGCUCAACCCUGGGAGUGGAAUGGAAACUGUCAGACUUGAGGACGUCAGAGGAAGGUGGAAUUCCCAGUGUAGCGGUGAAAUGCGUAGAUAUUGGGAGGAACACCAGUGGCGAAAGCGGCCUUCUGGGACGAUCCUGACGCUGAGGUUCGAAAGCUCGGGGAGCAAACAGG